GGGGAGGGUUGCGGGUGGGAGGGACGGUAUGGGGGGGAAGCCAUUGUAAUCCAUAAGCCAUACUUUUGAAAUUUAUAUUCAUUAAAUAAAAGUUAAAAAAAAGUGUAAAAAAAAAUCUUAUAGGACCAGGACCCUACCUUUAUGAUCCAAUUUAGCUUUAAUUACUUCCAUAGAAGUCCUCUCUCCAAACAUCAUCACCUUGGCGCUUGAGCUUAUCAUAUAGGGAGCAGGGGUGGGGGUGGGGUAGGACUCAAACAUUCAGUCCACAAAAAAGAAAACCCCAUGUUACACACCAGUGGACCACACGGGGGCACUGUGGUCCCAUGGAGCGCCACAGUUCUCAGGGGAGCAGUCCACUGAGCUGACUUCUGAGACAAGGAGAGUUGAAGAGCAGCUUUGAUGACGUGCACGCAGAUGUGAAGGUAUGCCGCCCAGUGGGGAGCCAUGAAGUUCAGCUACACCAUACCUACGGAGUCUUUCUGAGGUUGUAAGGAGGAACGCAAGGUGGGGGCUGGGGUUGGGGAGUCUGCAUCCCCCGAGCAGAGACACAGGAGCAACUGUCUCUAAACAGAAACAAAGGAUCCAUGAGGGCGCACAUGUGGCCUCCGCCCAGCCCAGCCUACGGAGGGCCAGCCCGGUUCUGGAUAUGUGAGAGGCCUUGCAGGACAAAGCAGAGGUCCUCAAUGAGGAGAGCCAGGGAUGUGACGAGGAGACAAGGUACACAGGAACCUGCAGACCAUGACAUCACAGCCCAACAUCCAAUCGGAGAAUAGAUGCCCAGACCGCCAGCCCUCAGAGGAACAGAACGCCUAUAAGCUCAGCCUCACUGUCCCAGGGGCUCCUGGUUCCUCUGCUGUGUGGCCAUUUGUCUACAGGGAGCGAGUGAAUCCUUGGCCCAGUGGGUUCUGGUCCACAGAACAGGGACACACUGGACUGCAGGAGGAUUGCAAGGGUUUGACACAGGGCAGUGAUAUCACAGGGUAAUCCUCCAAUCAGGAAAACACUGACCAAGAGCUCCGCUAAGAAGACCAACCCAGAUUACAGAAAACAGCCUUGUCAUCCUCCGUGGUGCCAUGGCCUCCAGGCUGCUCCCCUGGGCGAUGCUUUGCUUCCUGGGAGCAGGUGAGCCCUGGGGACAAGUGGGGUGCCCCUGCUCUGACUUGCUGAUUCCUCCUCUUCCAUAGGAGUUGAACCCCGAGAUUCUCUCCAGUGCUCUCUCCAUCUGUUUUUCCCACAGGCCCAGUGGAGGCAGGAGUCACACAGACGCCAAGACACCUGAUCCAAACAAGAGGGCAGCAAGUGUCGCUGAGAUGUACCCCUCACUCUGGGCACAACCGUGUGUUGUGGUACCAACAGGUCCUGGGCCAGGGCCUCCAGUUCCUCUUUGAUUAUUACAAUGAGAGACAGAGCUCAAAAGGAAAUGUCCCAGGCAGGUUCUCAGCUCACCAGUUUUCUGACUUUACCUCUGAAAUGAACGUGAGCGCCUUGGAGCUGCAGGACGCGGCUGUGUACCUCUGUGCCAGCAGCUUGGCACAGCCCCGCGGAGUCCCCAGUGCUCUGUGCACAAACCUCCUCUCCCAGUGUGGAGCAGCCUCAGCUGACACAGCUGUGAGAAAAGCCACCGCAGGGGCAAGAAAACUGGUUUCUAUGUGGUGAGAAGUGACACCUGGAUCUCUGCAGCCACUCAAGGGUAGGGCCACCAGACCAACCCAUCUGGUCAGAGCAGGGGCUACCUUGGACGGUGUGCUCCAGAAUGUCCUCUCAGUGCACCACCAGGGAAGAGUGGGCAUUUGUGAUUUGAUGGCAGGGAGCUUCAUGUGUAGGUCAUGCUUGUUUGAUAACACUGUGAAGUAGACUCCCAAACCCCAGGGUUUGCUUUAUGUAGAAGGCACUGACAUUUGGGGAAAGUCAAGGUCACAGACCAUAACCGAAGAAAGUUAAAAAUGGACAGACUCCAGACGAUUAAGUCAUGUCCCAUGCAACA
ensembl:lncRNA